rnacentral:misc_RNA from 1 species
AAGUCGUAACAAGGUAACCGUAGGUGAACCUGCGGUUGGAUCAUUAAAAAUCUAACUUGAAUGAGGUCAAGGUCCAGCGAUGGGUCUUGGCUUUCAUCAACCCCAAACUUGUGAACCGUUUUUGUAUUUUGGAUGUGGGUUAGUUGGCUGCCGUUCAAGCCUUGGCUUUAAAGGCUGCCCUCUUGGAAGUGAGUUGGAAGGUCAGUCGCAAGGCUGGACUUUCUCUCAACCCAUCCGCCUGGCUUGAACCUUUAAAUGUUCUUGCCUAACUUUUAAGCCCUUGAUUGAUGAACUUGUCUUGAACCUUGAUUUUUAUAACCUAAAAACAACUUUUGACAACGGAUCUCUAGGCUCUC